UCGACCUGAGAUUAGGCAAGAUUAUCGGCCGAAUUUAAGCAUAUUAAUAAGCCGAAGAAAAGAAAACAACUGUGAUUCCCUUAGUAAUGGCGAAUGAAACGGGAACAGGCCAUCGUGUAACCGCAGGUCAUCUUGGCCUUGUGGAAUGUCACGUUUGGGAGAGUCUCCUCGAGGAUCUGACGGCCAGUCAAAGUCCAACUUGACAGUGGCCACUGCCCAGAGAGGGUGAUAGGCCCGUAAGGCGGCUGUCUGUCUUCGCUGACUUUUCCUUCGAGUCGGGUUGCUUGGGAGUGCAGCCCAAAGUUCGAGGUAAACUCCUCGUAAGCCUAAAUAUGACCCCGAGACCGAUAGCAAACAAGUACGGUGACGGAAGAUUGAAAAGAACUUUGAAGAGAGAGUUCAAUAGUACGUGAAACUGUGUGGUGGUAAACGGAGCGGUUCUCGAAGUUUCUGUGGGGAACUCAGCCUUGGUGACUGGCUGUCGUGUCGUAUCGGAUCAGCAAUGACCGUGCGGCCCGCCAGGCUGGUCUCUCGGGUGCAUUUCCCCCGCAGUUUACGACAGGAACUGUUUGGACUGGAUCAAAGGCCCUGGGUGAAGUUGUUGGUACUGCUGGCAGCCCUGGGUGCCCUGGCUCCGGACCAGACAGGUAUUUGAGAGGACUCGUAUAGCGAGCAAUGCUCUGUGCGG
rnacentral:rRNA from 1 species